rnacentral:misc_RNA from 1 species
ACCUACUGUUUAAUUUUGAGGGUUCGUUUUUACGAAUACUCAAAAUUAGCACUUUAAGCAACGGGAUUUAUCCGUUGGCGCCGUGCAUUAGCACUUUAAGCAACGGAAUUUAUUCGUUGGCGCUGUGCGUUAGCACUUUGAAAACUGCAUAUAUAUUUAGUGAUAUGACAUCUAAUUUGUAAUAUAUAAAGCUGAUAACUUUUAAAAAUUAUCAAGUUGAUAGACUUUAAUCUAUCAAACCUUUUUAACUGGUCAA